rnacentral:misc_RNA from 1 species
GUAAAAACGGAGGUUGCAGGGGGUUGGAGAGCGAGAAUAAUGCGUGGAGUGCGACAAACGGGCGGCUGGAGGCUGAAGAAGCAGAGCGAAAGAGAGGGUCACGCCGUCCGUGAGAGGAAACGAAGAAAAAAGCUCGAGGUUCACCAGUAACGUUGAUUCGAUCGUGGGCGAAGCUGGCUGGAGAUCGAGUCAAAUUAUCUGGAAGAAGAAUGCAAUGGCGAUGAUCGAGCUCCGACGAUGAUUGCGCAAAGAAUAAUUUUUGCGUCAUCAAAGGCGUUACAAAAUUAGUAAUUAACUUGUUUCUCGUUAUAGCCGCUAUAUAUCGUAUAAGCCGUUGAGAAGCUUAAUUGAUCUGCUCUGAAAAGUUCAAAAAACUGAU